CAAGCCUGAUCCAGCCAUACCGCGUGGGUGAAGAAGGCCUUCGGGUUGUAAAGCCCUUUUGUUGGGAAAGAAAUCCAGCCGGCUAAUACCUGGUUGGGAUGACGGUACCCAAAGAAUAAGCACCGGCUAACUUCGUGCCAGCAGCCGCGGUAAUACGAAGGGUGCAAGCGUUACUCGGAAUUACUGGGCGUAAAGCGUGCGUAGGCUGACUUUUAAGUCAGGGGUGAAAUCCCGGGGCUCAACCUCGGAACUGCCUUUGAUACUGAAAGUCUUGAGUCCGAGAGAGGUGAGUGGAACUCCGAGUGUAGAGGUGAAAUUCGUAGAUAUUCGGAAGAACACCAGUGGCGAAGGCGGCUCACUGGCUCGGUACUGACGCUGAGGUGCGAAAGCGUGGGGAGCAAACA
rnacentral:rRNA from 1 species